GUCUACGGCCAUGCCACCCCAGACAAGCCUGACGUCUGAUCUUGGGAGCUAAGCAGGGUCAGGCCUGGUUAGUACUUGGACGGGAGACCACCUAGGAAGUCCAAGUGCUGUAGGCA
rnacentral:rRNA from 1 species